UACGUAGGUGGCAAGCGUUGUCCGGAUUUAUUGGGUUUAAAGGGUGCGUAGGCGGCCCUGUAAGUCAGUGCUGAAAUAUCCCGGCUUAACCGGGAGGGUGGCAUUGAUACUGCGGGGCUUGAGUAAAGUUGAGGUUGGCGGAAUUGACGGUGUAGCGGUGAAAUGCUUAGAUAUCGUCAAGAACACCUAUUGCGUAGGCAGCUAACUAAGCUUUAACUGACGCUGAGGCACGAAAGUGUGGGGAUCAAACAGG
rnacentral:rRNA from 1 species